rnacentral:rRNA from 1 species
GAUGAACGCUAGCGGCAGGCUUAACACAUGCAAGUCGCGGGGCAGCGCGGGUAGCAAUACCUGGCGGCGACCGGCGGAAGGGUGCGUAACGCGUGAGCAACAUGCCCGUCUCGGGGGGAUAACCGAUGGAAACGUCGCCUAAUACCCCAUAACAACAGAGGUCGCAUGGCCUUUGUUUGAAAGCUCCGGCGGAGACGGAUUGGCUCGCGUGACAUUAGCUGGUUGGCGGGGUAACGGCCCACCAAGGCGACGAUGUCUAGGGGUUCUGAGAGGAAGGUCCCCCACACUGGAACUGAGACACGGUCCAGACUCC